rnacentral:rRNA from 1 species
AAGCAAGAUGUGAAAGCCCUGGGCUCAACCUGGGAACUGCAUUUUGAACUGGCAAGCUAGAGUUUUGUAGAGGGUAGUGGAAUUUCCAGUGUAGCGGUGAAAUGCGUAGAGAUUGGAAGGAACAUCAGUGGCGAAGGCGGCCACCUGGACAGAUACUGACGCUGAGGUACGAAAGCGUGGGGAGCGAACAGGAUUAGAUACCCUGGUAGUCCACGCCGUAAACGAUGUCAACUAGCCGUUUGUGUCCUUGAGACGUGAGUGGCGCAGCUAACGCACUAAGUUGACCGCCUGGGGAGUACGGCCGCAAGGUUAAAACUCAAAUGAAUUGACGGGGGCCCGCACAAGCGGUGGAGCAUGUGGUUUAAUUCGAUGCAACGCGAAGAACCUUACCUGGACUUGACAUAGAAAGAAUAACGCAGAGAUGUGAUAGUGCUAGCUUGCUAGAACUUUCAUACAGGUGCUGCACGGCUGUCGUCAGCUCGUGUCGUGAGAUGUUGGGUUAAGUCCCGCAACGAGCGCAACCCUUAUCCUUAUUUGCCAGCACGUAAUGGUGGGAACUCUAAGGAGACUGCCGGUGAUAAACCGGAGGAAGGUGGGGACGACGUCAAGUCAUCAUGGCCCUUACGAGUAGGGCUACACACGUGCUACAAUGGCGCAUACAAAGGGCUGCAAACCAGCGAUGGUAAGCGAAUCCCAUAAAGUGCGUCGUAGUCCGGAUUGGGGUCUGCAACUCGACCCCAUGAAGUCGGAAUCGCUAGUAAUCGUAGAUCAGAAUGCUACGGUGAAUACGUUCCCGGGCCUUGUACACACCGCCCGUCACACCAUGGGAGUGGGAUGCAAAAGAAGUGGCUAGUCUAACCUUCGGGAGGACGGUCACCACUUUGUGUUUCAUGACUGGGGUGAAGUCGUAACAAGGUAACCCUAGGGGAACCUGGGGUUG